GGAAUUGUUCGCAAUGGGCGCAAGCCUGACGACGCAACGCCGCGUGGAGGAUGAAGGUCUUCGGAUUGUAAACUCCUGUUGCCCGGGACGAAUGGCUCCGACCUAAUACGUCGGGGUGUGACGGUACCGGGUGAGGAAGCCCCGGCUCACUCUGUGCCCGCAACCGCGGUACUACCGAGGGGGCAAGCGUUGUUCGGAAUUACUGGGCGUAAAGGGCGCGUAGGCGGCCUGCUAAGUCGAACGUGAAAUCCCCGGGCUCAACCCGGGAACUGCGUCCGAUACUGGUUGGCUUGAAUCCGGGAGAGGGAUGUGGAAUUCCAGGUGUAGCGGUGAAAUGCGUAGAUAUCUGGAGGAACAUCGGUGGCGAAGGCGGCAUCCUGGACCGGUAUUGACGCUGAGGCGCGAAAGCCAGGGGAGCAAAC
rnacentral:rRNA from 1 species